AUUGAACGCUGGCGGCAGGCCUAACACAUGCAAGUCGAACGGUAACAUUUCUAGCUUGCUAGAAGAUGACGAGUGGCGGACGGGUGAGUAAUGCUUGGGAACUUGCCUUUGCGAGGGGGAUAACAGUUGGAAACGACUGCUAAUACCGCAUAAUGUCUUCGGACCAAACGGGGCUUCGGCUCCGGCGCAAAGAGAGGCCCAAGUGAGAUUAGCUAGUUGGUAAGGUAACGGCUUACCAAGGCGACGAUCUCUAGCUGUUCUGAGAGGAAGAUCAGCCACACUGGGACUGAGACACGGCCCAGACUCCUACGGGAGGCAGCAGUGGGGAAUAUUGCACAAUGGGGGAAACCCUGAUGCAGCCAUGCCGCGUGUGUGAAGAAGGCCUUCGGGUUGUAAAGCACUUUCAGUUGUGAGGAAAAGUUAGUAGUUAAUACCUGCUAGCCGUGACGUUAACAACAGAAGAAGCACCGGCUAACUCCGUGCCAGCAGCCGCGGUAAUACGGAGGGUGCGAGCGUUAAUCGGAAUUACUGGGCGUAAAGCGCACGCAGGCGGUUUGUUAAGCUAGAUGUGAAAGCCCCGGGCUCAACCUGGGAUGGUCAUUUAGAACUGGCAGACUUAGAGUCUUGGAGAGGGGAGUGGAAUUCCAGGUGUAGCGGUGAAAUGCGUAGAUAUCUGGAGGAACAUCAGUGGCGAAGGCGACUCCCCUGGCCAAAGACUGACGCCUCAUGUGCGAAAGUGUGGGGUAAGCGAACAGGAUUAGAUACCCUGGGUAAG
rnacentral:rRNA from 1 species